UAGGGAAUCUUCCACAAUGGACGCAAGUCUGAUGGAGCAACGCCGCGUGAGUGAAGAAGGUUUUCGGACCGUAAAGCUCUGUUGUUGGUGAAGAAGGAUAGAGGUAGUAACUGGCCUUUAUUUGACGGUAAUCAACCAGAAAGUCACGGCUAACUACGUGCCAGCAGCCGCGGUAAUCGUAGGUGGCAAGCGUUGUCCGGAUUUAUUGGGCGUAAAGCGAGCGCAGGCGGAAGAAUAAGUCUGAUGUGAAAGCCCUCGGCUUAACCGAGGAAUUGCAUCGGAAACUGUUUUCUUGAGUGCAGAAGAGGAGAGUAGAACUCCAUGUGUAGCGGUGGAAUGCGUAGAUAUAUGGAAGAGUACCAGUGGCGAAGGCGGCUCUCUGGUCUGCAACUGACGCUGAGGCUCGAAAGCAUGGGUAGCGAACAGGAUUAGAUACCCUGGUAGUCCAUGCCGUAAACGAUGAGUGCUAAGUGUUGGGAGGCUUCCGCCUCUCAGUGCUGCAGCUAACGCAUUAAGCACUCCGCCUGGGGGAGUACGACCGCAAGGUUGAAACUCUAA
rnacentral:rRNA from 1 species